rnacentral:rRNA from 1 species
AUACGGAGGAUGCGAGCGUUAUCCGGAUUUAUUGGGUUUAAAGGGAGCGUAGGUGGGAUAUUAAGUCAGCUGUGAAAGUUUGGGGCUCAACCUUAAAAUUGCAGUUGAUACUGGUUUCCUUGAGUACGGUACAGGUGGGCGGAAUUCGUGGUGUAGCGGUGAAAUGCUUAGAUAUCACGAAGAACUCCGAUCGCGAAGGCAGCUCACCGGGCCGGAACUGACACUGAUGCUCGAAAGUGCGGGUAUCAAACAGGAUUAGAUACCCUGGUAGUCCGCACAGUAAACGAUGAAUACUCGCUGUUUGCGAUACACGGUAAGCGGCCAAGCGAAAGCGUUAAGUAUUCCACCUGGGGAGUACGCCGGCAACGGUGAAACUCAAAGGAAUUGACGGG